GGGACACGUGGUAUCCUGUCUGAAUAUGGGGGGACCAUCCUCCAAGGCUAAAUACUCCUGACUGACCGAUAGUGAACCAGUACCGUGAGGGAAAGGCGAAAAGAACCCCGGCGAGGGGAGUGAAAAAGAACCUGAAACCGUGUACGUACAAGCAGUGGGAGCACGCUUAGGCGUGUGACUGCGUACCUUUUGUAUAAUGGGUCAGCGACUUAUAUUCUGUAGCAAGGUUAACCGAAUAGGGGAGCCGAAGGGAAACCGAGUCUUAACUGGGCGUUAAGUUGCAGGGUAUAGACCCGAAACCCGGUGAUCUAGCCAUGGGCAGGUUGAAGGUUGGGUAACACUAACUGGAGGACCGAACCGACUAAUGUUGAAAAAUUAGCGGAUGACUUGUGGCUGGGGGUGAAAGGCCAAUCAAACCGGGAGAUAGCUGGUUCUCCCCGAAAGCUAUUUAGGUAGCGCCUCGUGAAUUCAUCUCCGGGGGUAGAGCACUGUUUCGGCAAGGGGGUCAUCCCGACUUACCAACCCGAUGCAAACUGCGAAUACCGGAGAAUGUUAUCACGGGAGACACACGGCGGGUGCUAACGUCCGUCGUGAAGAGGGAAACAACCCAGACCGCCAGCUAAGGUCCCAAAGUCAUGGUUAAGUGGGAAACGAUGUGGGAAGGCCCAGACAGCCAGGAUGUUGGCUUAGAAGCAGCCAUCAUUUAAAGAAAGCGUAAUAGCUCACUGGUCGAGUCGGCCUGCGCGGAAGAUGUAACGGGGCUAAACCAUGCACCGAAGCUGCGGCAGCGACACUAUGUGUUGUUGGGUAGGGGAGCGUUCUGUAAGCCUGUGAAGGUGUGCUGUGAGGCAUGCUGGAGGUAUCAGAAGUGCGAAUGCUGACAUAAGUAACGAUAAAGCGGGUGAAAAGCCCGCUCGCCGGAAGACCAAGGGUUCCUGUCCAACGUUAAUCGGGGCAGGGUGAGUCGACCCCUAAGGCGAGGCCGAAAGGCGUAGUCGAUGGGAAACAGGUUAAUAUUCCUGUACUUGGUGUUACUGCGAAGGGGGGACGGAGAAGGCUAUGUUGGCCGGGCGACGGUUGUCCCGGUUUAAGCGUGUAGGCUGGUUUUCCAGGCAAAUCCGGAAAAUCAAGGCUGAGGCGUGAUGACGAGGCACUACGGUGCUGAAGCAACAAAUGCCCUGCUUCCAGGAAAAGCCUCUAAGCAUCAGGUAACAUCAAAUCGUACCCCAAACCGACACAGGUGGUCAGGUAGAGAAUACCAAGGCGCUUGAGAGAACUCGGGUGAAGGAACUAGGCAAAAUGGUGCCGUAACUUCGGGAGAAGGCACGCUGAUAUGUAGGUGAAGUCCCUCGCGGAUGGAGCUGAAAUCAGUCGAAGAUACCAGCUGGCUGCAACUGUUUAUUAAAAACACAGCACUGUGCAAACACGAAAGUGG
rnacentral:rRNA from 1 species